CUGAGUUUAAGCAUAUAAAUAAGCGGAGGAGAAGAAACUUACAAGGAUUCCCCUAGUAACGGCGAGCGAACCGGGAGCAGCCCAGCUUGAGAAUCGGGUAGUACCCCUACUCGAAUUGUAGUCUGGAGAGGCGUCCUCAGCGACGGACCGAGCCCAAGUUCCCUGGAAAGGGACGCCUGGGAGGGUGAGAGCCCCGUCCGGCCCGGACCCUGUCGCACCACGAGGCGCCGUCAACGAGUCGGGUUGUUUGGGAAUGCAGCCCAAAUCGGGCGGUAAACUCCGUCCAAGGCUAAAUACAGGCGAGAGACCGAUAGCGAACAAGUACCGCGAGGGAAAGAUGAAAAGGACUUUGAAAAGAGAGGCAAAGAGUGCUUGAAAUUG
rnacentral:rRNA from 1 species